UACGUAGGGGACUAGCGUUGUUCGGAAUCACUGGGCGUAAAGCGCACGUAGGCGGAUUUGUAAGUCAGGGGUGAAAUCCCGGGGCUCAACCUCGGAACUGCCUUUGAUACUGCGAAUCUUGAGUCCGAUAGAGGUGGGUGGAAUUCCUAGUGUAGAGGUGAAAUUCGUAGAUAUUAGGAAGAACACCGGUGGCAAAGGCGGCCCACUGGAUCGGUACUGACGCUGAGGUGCGAAAGCGUGGGGAGCAAACAGG
rnacentral:rRNA from 1 species